UACGGAGGGUGCGAGCGUUAAUUGGAAUUACUGGGCGUAAAGCGCACGCAGGCGGUUUGUUAAGCUAGAUGUGAAAGCCCCGGGCUCAACCUGGGAUGGUCAUUUAGAACUGGCAGACUAGAGUCUUGGAGAGGGGAGUGGAAUUCCAGGUGUAGCGGUGAAAUGCGUAGAUAUCUGGAGGAACAUCAGUGGCGAAGGCGACUCCCUGGCCAAAGACUGACGCUCAUGUGCGAAAGUGUGGGUAGCGAACAGG
rnacentral:rRNA from 1 species